rnacentral:rRNA from 1 species
GACAGAGGAUGCAAGCGUUAUCCGGAAUGAUUGGGCGUAAAGCGUGCGCAGGCGGUUUUGUAAGCCAGAUGUGAAAGCCCCGGGCUUAACCUGGGAAUGGCAUUUGGGACUGCAAGGCUUGAGUGCGGCAGAGGAGACUGGAAUUCCCGGUGUAGCAGUGAAAUGCGUAGAUAUCGGGAGGAAUACCGAUGGCGAAGGCAGGUCUCUGGGCUGACACUGACGCUCAUGCACGAAAGCGUGGGGAGCAAACAGG